rnacentral:rRNA from 1 species
AGGUUUCCGCCUUCUUAGUCGCCGAAGCUAGACGCAUUAAGUAUUCCGCCUGGGGAGUACGACCGCAAGGUUGAAUCUCAAAGGAAUGGACGGGGACCCGCACAAGCGGUGGAGCAUGUGGUUUAAUUCGAAGCAACGCGAGAGAACCUUCCCAGGUCUUGACAUCCUUUGAAGCUAUCAGAGAUAGAAGUGUUCUCUUCGGAGACAAAGUGACAGGUCGUGCAUGGUAGUCGUCAGCUCGUGUCGUGAGAUGAUGGGUUAAGUCCCGCAACGAGCGCAACCCUUACUGUUACUUGCCAGCAUUCAGUUGGGCACUCUAGCGAGACUGCCGGUGACAAACCGGAGGAAGGCGGGGACGACGUCAGAUCAUCAUGCCCCUUAUGACCUGGGCUACACACGUGAUACAAUGGCGUAUACAGCGAGUUGCCAACCUGCGAAGGUGAGCUAAUCUCAUAAAGUCCGUCUCAGUUCGGAUCGCAGUCUGCAACUCGACUGCACGAAGUCGGAAUCGCUAGUAAUCGCGGAUCAGCACGCCGCGGUGAAUACGUUCCCGGGUCUUGUACACACCGCCCGUCACACCAUGGGAGUUUGUAAUGCCCAAAG